rnacentral:rRNA from 1 species
GAUGAACGCUGGCGGUAUGCUUAACACAUGCAAGUCGAACGGAAUCUUCGGGGUUAGUGGCGGUGGGGUAAGGAACACCGGAUAAUCAGGCCUUGAGUAACCUGCCCCCAAUGGAAACGGAACCUAAUACAGGAUGUGCUGAGACGUAAUAGAGGAAUUGCCUGCAGAUGAGCGCGCGGCUGAUUAGCGAGGUGGGGAGGGAACGGCCCACCAAGGAAGCGAUCAGUAGCUGGUGUGAGUGGCAGACCAGCCACACUGGGCCUGAGACACGGCCGAGACUCCUGCGGGAGGCAGGAGUGGGGAAUUGUCCGAAAUGGGCGAGAGCCUGACAGAGCAAUACCGCGUGAGGGAAGAAGGCUCUUGGGUUGUAAACCUCUUUUCUGAGGGAAGAACAAAAUGACGGUACCUAAUGAAUCAGCACCGGCUAACUCCGUG